UACAGAGGUCUCAAGCGUUGUUCGGAUUCAUUGGGCGUAAAGGGUGCGUAGGCGGCGCGGUAAGUCGGGUGUGAAAUCUCGGAGCUUAACUCCGAAACUGCAUUCGAUACUGCCGUGCUUGAGGACUGGAGAGGAGACUGGAAUUUACGGUGUAGCGGUGAAAUGCGUAGAUAUCGUAAGGAAGGCCAGUGGCGAAGGCGGGUCUCUGGACAGUUCCUGACGUGAGGCACGAAAGGUCAGGGGGAGCAAAACGGGG
rnacentral:rRNA from 1 species